ensembl:misc_RNA 7SK 7SK RNA
GGAUAUGAGAGCGAUCUGGCUGCGACCUCUGUCACCCCAUUGAUUGCCAGGGUUGAUUCGGCUGAUCUGGCUGGCUAGGCAGGUGUCCCCUUCCUCCCUCACGGUUCCAUGUGUGUCCCUCCGGAAGCUGAGUGCUUGGUUGGUUGAAGAGGACUACCUUCCCUGAUAGAGGAGGACCGUUCUUCCGUCAAGGGUAUACGAGUAGCUGCGCUCCCCGCCCCCCCAAAAAAAGCCCACAGAGGAGAAGAGAAGGUAAGAGGCAGGUGCAGAAGGAAACCAAUUUAAUAUGGAGAGAAAGAUGGAGCUAGUUCUGUGCCC